GAAACUAUAAAGAUUUUAAGAGAAAAAUGUGCUCUUUGUCUUUGCUAUGUAACUCCGUUUUGAACACAGGACUGCUGCCUCCCUUCCUUCCAGGAACCGGCAGCCUAUGUACUGAUCUGAUGCAGAGCUAAUCUUUUCUGAGACAUCCUCUCCUCCAGGGUCGAGCCUCCCAUAAUUUUGCUUCCCUGGGACAUAGUCUUCGCUGUGUCAACCGAAAGUCUGAAAAUGGCCCAUCAAAUUUUCCUGUGGGAGGUCUGCCCUACGCUGCAUACACUGAGGUCGAGCACAGGUUGAAUUGUCUAUAUCUAAGCUUCUGAUUUAUCCUAUCUAGACCCACCUUAAUCCCAGUAAUAAAGAAGGUGAUGUGGGAACCCUUAGAAGUAAUCAAUGGAAAGCCUAUAAAGUAAGAAAAAUAUUGAGUAACUGGCAAUUGGCUCAUAAAUAUCCCUGGCACAGCCUGAGACAGUCCUUGGCUGCCUUUUCUGGAGCGGAAUCUUCCAUUGUGAUGAGAAGGAAGUUGCCAGCAGACACAGCCACCUGCAUCCCACACAACAGCUUUAAAGGAGAAAACCCCGUGGAGAAAGAACUGAAACUGAGAGGAGUUCCAAACUAAAAAUAAACCACAGAUCUCAGCAAGGCUCUAUACCCUGGCUGUUGCCCUUGUCACUGACUUUUCCUUAUUGAAAGCUACUCAGAGACCCGAGGAAAGCUUUGUGCUAAUACUGAUAUGAUUGCUAUCAUCACCACUGCCUGGACAUGCUGCUACCUGAGAAAUCCCUGGACAGCUCUCACCGAGUGAAGAAUAUUUGGGAAAUGACGUCCUUGACAAUGAUAAAAUUAUUUUCCAAAAUUAUACAACCUUACUAAAACC